CUUCUCCGAUCCGGGAGAUCUCCUACACUUUUCCUUUCGUCCGGACGUGCCGACGGCGUGUCGUGUCGUGUACAACGAGGAUAUCUUGUGCAAGUACCCCGACCUAGCCUAGCGUCGCGGAGACGCGCUUCGCGCCCUCGUUACUUCGAGCGCGGAAAGCUCGUGUACGGACCUUGAAACCGUUUUCCAACCAUCGAGAUCGACCUGCCGCGCGCCGCUCUCUCGCUGCUCGCCAGAGCGAGGCGAAAACCCGCGCUAUUCUUGGGGAACGAGCACGCCGCCGCGCCGCACCGGCUUCGCAGACACGCGGCCUCGGCAUACGCUUUUCGAGCGUGCUCGCGACGCCGUGAAAUUUAUUGUAAACGACCCGGGUGUGCUAUCCUUUCCAGCCACGUCGAGGACGAUUCGUCCUUAAUUAGCGAACUCAGGCUCGCGCAACUCGCCCAGUCUGAUCCCGAUGAUAACCGAAUGAUUGCUCGUGAACUAGAAUCUCUAAUCGAUGAUCUGUGUUGCUCCGUUAAUCGUUCGAAACGGUUUAUGCGUGAUGCUUUUGGUUUUGAAAGUCGACGCUGCCCAGUAAGCGAGAAUUUGGUGCUGAUCUCAGCGCUGCGCAGGAGGCACUAGGGACUAACGCCUGCGCUGGCGACUUCGAGCGCGGCUAGACGAGCACCGUCGGCGCUGGAGACCUCGAUGCGCCACUAGACGAGUACCGUCGGCGCUGGAGACUUCGAUGCGCCACUAGACGAGCAACGUCGGCGCUGGAGACUCGAACGGACGGUUAGGCGACUGACGUCGGCUCUAGCAUCGGCAGGCUGUCGGAGCAACUAAAAUGAGUGGUUUUAGAUCUCUUAUUAUACAAUUAUUGAAAUUAAAUGUCGGAGCAGAAAGCAAAUAUAUCAUGCGUACAUAUGAUUCUAAUCCCGACAUGUAUUGUAUGUACUAUUCUAUGUUGGUACUUGCUAUAUGCGUAUGUGAGACUCCGUGGCGGUCAUGUGCGAACAGACUCGUCAGUUGUUUGGAUCACCUCGUGCACUACGAUCGUCUUGAAAUAGAAAGUUUAUAUUAUAUAUACAGUUAUUCACAUUAUUCAAAUACGAUGAAGCAGUAAAUAAAUUAAUUCAUUUGUGGGUACGUUACGAUAAAAAUCGCACUAUUGUUUACAGAGCAAUACAAUGUACGUUUACCAUCGAAAUGUUUAUCGUUAUGUAUUACUUUAUAUUCGAUGUUUUCAUGUAUCUGAUAUGUCCACGAUGAUGUUUUACGUCUUCAAUAAACGUUCGAACUUAAUAAAAAAACAUUUUUGAUUUA